CGCUCCGCUUCCACGUGGUUGAGCGGCUCCUCCCGCCCAUUGGCCGGCUUCCGCCCUCUCUUCCUCGGCCUACGCUCCUCCGCCGCCGCCGCCGCCGCCGCCGUAAUCCUCCGAUCAUCCUUGCUCGACGAUUCCACGUCCGGAAGGUCCGAGUCUAAUGCUAAUGCGCCGCCCGAUUGGGCUGCAGCGGGGGACGCCGCCGCCGCCGCCGAAGUCGCCCCACCACCAUUGCCGAAAUCCACUGUCCCAAGCGGCGGCGGCGGCGGCGGCAGCUGUUGCGGACGCGGACGCGGACGCGGACGCGGCUUUUGAAGCAGGGAUUGGCUGAUGCGAGGGUGCUCCUCCGUGAACAGGUCGGCGGGGCGAGGGAUCGGUCGCUGCAGCGACGGCGACGGCGACGGCGACGGCGACGGCGUUGAGCCCAAUCGGUCGGCGCCGAACCCUCCUAGCACGCUGUUGAGGAAC
rnacentral:lncRNA from 1 species